rnacentral:rRNA from 1 species
UACGUAGGGUGCAAGCGUUGUCCGGAAUUAUUGGGCGUAAAGAGCUCGUAGGCGGUUUGUCGCGUCUGCUGUGAAAACUCAGGGCUUAACCCUGAGCCUGCAGUGGGUACGGGCAGACUAGAGUGUGGUAGGGGAGAUCGGAAUUCCUGGUGUAGCGGUGGAAUGCGCAGAUAUCAGGAGGAACACCGGUGGCGAAGGCGGAUCCCUGGGCCAUAACUGACGCUGACGGAGCGAAAGCAUGGGGAGCGAACAGGA